CUCAGGUAAUCCACCUGCCUUGGCCUCCCAAACUGCUGGGAUUACAGGUGUGAGCCACCACACCUGGCCAGAACUCUACUCUUCAGGAACUUAGUGCAUCAGGUACUCAACAGUAAGUAGCGUGAUGACUUAGGGGCAGGAAAAAAGGAGGCUGUUUCUAUCUUGGAACAUUUUAAUAACCUCCGAACAUUUUAUACGGAUAAAGCUGGGUUAAAACAGAUAUUAAGAGGUGCCUAGGAGAGAAAGGAUUGGGGUGGGAACUGGAAGAAAAUUGUAGGAAAGGGGAGGGUUGUUAUCUUGGAGCUGGAGAUGGCUUCGUCCUAGUGCAUCUGAGGGCUGUUUUUAAAUAGUGUCUGUCUGAAUCAUUCCUCCGCCCUCCACCCUUCACUUUCCACCCUCCACCCAACCCUCUUCCUGAGUCACCCUGGCUGCCAUUUCUCAUUCUGAAAGGAGAAAGAGGAAAGGAUAUAAUUUGUAUCAAAUCCCUACAAGCUGCUAGGAUACAUUGGUGCAUUUCCUUUGGAACAUUUCAUCUACACAUACCACAGUGCAAUGGAUGCGAGUUCUUCUGUGUAAAGAUGGGGAAACUGAGGUGCAAAGGGUUUCCUCCUAAGCCAUACUGGGCUGCCACUGUUCUUCAUAUAUCAGGUUCAAGCUGAUGGAUCCAAGCCAAAGGACUCCAUAUUCUCCAAAGCCUAUAAGCAGAAUGCUGGUGUGGUGUGGGGGGGGAAGAAGUUCCAUUGUGUCCCUACUGAAGGGACACAGAAGUACCAAAAGGGUCACUGAACUGCCAGGUACCAAGUGGUACCAGGUGCCACGAGGCUGCCAAAGGCAGAGAUGAGCCAAGCCAUCAACUUCAGCUGAGGUUGAGACAUGGCAUCCAUAAAUGCCAAACAGGACCAUACUCUAUGCAGAGAAUAAGGAUCAGAAAAUCAAGUGCAAAACGGGAAGUCUCCCUAGAACCCACAUGUGCUGAUUCAAGACACCCUUAUUCUCAAGCCACAGUGUUACCUAUUCCCUUGCCCCGAACACCCAGAUACCAUUUUGGUGAGGAACAGGAGAAAGGAAAGGGAAUACAAUGUAAAAGGACUGUUUGAAUCAGAAGAGAUUGACAUAUUGAUAUUUGUCCAGUUCCAUGGUUUCUACCCCACACCCAAUAAGAAAGAGGCUUAAGAGGAACAUUAGUUCAUGAGACUAACUGGCUGUUCAUUAAACCCACAGCUGGACUACAUUUUCAGCCUUCCUUGCAGUUAGGUGUAACCAUGUGAAUGGAUCUGGCCAAUAAAAUUGAUCUUGGAAACCAGGUAUUGAAGAUGGUGAGGCCACAGAUGGAAGGCACCUGGAUCCAGAUUUAAAAGAGUUGCCUGCCAAUCAGGAACACCCUUUUUGAGCUUUGGGGAUGUGUUUUAGUUCUCAUAUUCCUGCAUAACAAACUACUCCAAAUUUAGUGGAUUAAAACAACAAUUUAUUAUAAUC
rnacentral:lncRNA from 1 species